GACGAACGCUGGCGGCGUGCUUAACACAUGCAAGUCGAACGGAAAGGCCCUGCUUUUGUGGGGUGCUCGAGUGGCGAACGGGUGAGUAACACGUGAGUAACCUGCCCUUGACUUUGGGAUAACUUCAGGAAACUGGGGCUAAUACCGGAUAGGAGCUCCUGCUGCAUGGUGGGGGUUGGAAAGUUUCGGCGGUUGGGGAUGGACUCGCGGCUUAUCAGCUUGUUGGGGGGGUAGUGGCUUACCAAGGCUUUGACGGGUAGCCGGCCUGAGAGGGUGACCGGCCACAUUGGGACUGAGAGACGGACCAGACUCCUACGGGAGGCAGAAGUGGGGAAUAUUGCACAAUGGGCGGAAGCCUGAUGCAGCAACGCCGCGUGCGGGAUGACGGCCUUCGGGUUGUAAACCGCUUUCGCCUGUGACGAAGCGUGAGUGACGGUAAUGGGUAAAGAAGCACCGGCUAACUACGUG
rnacentral:rRNA from 1 species